AAGGUAUAAAUGAUGCCCCCCAUAGGGGGCUUCACAGCGAUUAGUGAUUCUCAGCCAUCGGAUCCUCCCAGCAAAGAUCUCGGCCAUCCAUUUUUUUUACAGCUAGGUAUAAAAGGGAGCAGAAACCCUAUAGCCUCCAAUCCCCUCACGCGCCCCUGCCUAUUCCCGCAGCCAAUCUCGUGCCCUCUUCUCUCCCCAAUCCCUGCCUCCAUCUCUCCCCAAUCCACGCCUCCUUCUCUCCUCCAAUCCCUUCUCCUCCGUUGGUUUUCUCCAUGGCUGGAGCUGGGAGAGGCAAAGGGAAGCCUCACACCAUGGACGAGGAGGUGGAGCCCCUGCUCUCCUCCUCACGCCCCUGCUCUCCUCCUCCCUUACCACCUCCACCUCUUCUUCCAGCUCUAUCCCCUUUCCACUCCAUGGUGCACCACUUCCUUCUCUCCCCCCCUUUAUUUCCUACCAUACCUUAGCUCGUCCUUCCCUACAACAAGAAUAUUUUAUGGUCUAGAUACUAGAGGAAGAAGAAGAGGUGGCAAGAAGAGGAUCAAGAGGGGGAGAAGGAAGAUAAGAAGAUCUCCGUGUUUCCUGUACGGUUCCUCUUGAUUCAGCUCCAAGGGAGAAGAAAAUGGAGCGGGUGGUGACUUUGAGAGAUGUUAAGAAGCAAGGAGUGUUGUGGUUGGGUUCUUUGGUGAAUAUGAACUGCUUCUCACAAGGCCUAUUGUUAUUUCACACUCCAUGAAUUAGGUAGCAAACAGUCGAAGUUAAGAUACCAAAUGGAUCAAGGUUGGAGCAGGAGCGGAACAAUACAUGAGCCUCCUUAUGUAUUACUAGAACAAGGCCUCAUUUGAACACGAUGUAGAUCGAAUGUGAAAAGUUGCAUAACAAAGUGGGUUAUCAUGCACAUAAUGAAAUAUGUUUAAUGCGCUCAAUAUCAUUGAAGAUGUAGUUAUGGACAUACACAUGUGGUUCUAUCCACUAUGAUAUACUCAUGGUGGGAUGUUUGAUUGCUGCAGGUACUAUAUAUUGGCCAGCAUUCAUAACCGCGGUUCUUGCCGCAAUAGUUGUGACAUGUGAGCCAAGCCACCAUAUCUACUACCUUGUCAGUUAUUAAACAUGCUUUUGCGCUGGGUUGUUUUCACUGUGUUAGUGUUGUGCCCACCUCAAAAACAUUCCUUGGGCAGAUUUACUCCCUGACAUCAAUUGGUUGCUAUGAUUCUUUGCAUUGCUAGAACUGCUCGAUUUAAGAAUAAAAUCCAGCUACGAAACACAUACGGUGAGCUUUACUUUUUGCAACUUCCUUUGCAUCUUGAGCAUAUAACUAAAUAGGGAGUAUUUCUUUUUUCAACGAACGUCACUUAAAUUUGUAAGUUGAUCUGGUAUUCAAACUGUGGCUAAACAGAGGAUAGGCAGGGUACUUUUCAUUUCACUACUGGACAGAGUAAACAGCGUCUUCUCUUAACAAUAUAUCUAAACUUUGUCACAUGAUAUGAUGACAUUUGAUUCUCGAAUAUACCUGAAUAAGAAAUCACUCAGCCUAGCACAAAUAGUUGGAUAAUACUAAAUAUAAUUUCUUUCUGUGUUGUUUGAUGCAGACCACUCUAAAAUUUACCAUGUUACCAUUGCAAACUUUGUCUAGGCUAAAUUACACUUGUAUGCUAUGAUUUGAAGUGUUGU